CCUACGGGUGGCAGCAGUGGGGAAUAUUGCACAAUGGGGGAAACCCUGAUGCAGCGACGCCGCGUGAGUGAAGAAGUAAUUCGGUAUGUAAAGCUCUAUCAGCAGGGAAGAAAAUGACGGUACCUGAGCAAGAAUCCCCGGCUAACUACGUGCCAGCAGCCGCGGUAAUACGUAGGGGGCAAGCGGUAUCCGGAUUUACUGGGUGUAAAGGGAGCGUAGACGGGAGUGCAAGUCUGGAGUGAAAGGCGGGGGCUCAACCCCCGUAGUGCUCUGGAAACUGUACGGCUGGAGUGCAGGAGAGGUAGGUGGAAUUCCUGGUGUAGCGGUGAAAUGCGUAGAUAUUAGGAGGAACACCAGUGGCGAAGGCGGCUUACUGGACUGUAACUGACGUUGAGGCUCGAAAGCGUGGGGAGCAAACAGGAUUAGAUACCCCAGUAGUC
rnacentral:rRNA from 1 species